AACGAACGCUGGCGGCAGGCUUAACACAUGCAAGUCGAACGGGCGUAGCAAUACGUCAGUGGCAGACGGGUGAGUAACACGUGGGAACCUUCCUAGGGGUACGGAACAACUCAGGGAAACUUGAGCUAAUACCGUAUACGUCCGAGAGGAGAAAGAUUUAUCGCCCUUAGACGGGCCCGCGUCGGAUUAGGUAGUUGGUGGGGUAACGGCCUACCAAGCCGACGAUCCGUAGCUGAUCUGAGAGGAUGAUCAGCCACACUGGGACUGAGACACGGCCCAGACUCCUACGGGAGGCAGCAGUGGGGAAUCUUGGACAAUGGGCGCAAGCCUGAUCCAGCCAUGCCGCGUGAGUGAAGAAGGCCUUAGGGUUGUAAAGUUCUUUUGGCAGGGACGAUAAUGACGGUACCUGCAGAAUAAGCCCCGGCAAACUUCGUGCCAGCAGCCGCCGUAACAC
rnacentral:rRNA from 1 species